AAUGGAUCACGUAUCUGACCUUUCUUCUCCUGAAAAAGUGGAUCCCAGCAGAUUUGUGCCCAACCUCGGUGGUCCUCAUAAACUGUUGUCCAACAAACAGAGGAUGAAUGAGAGCAUGGAUGUGAAAGAGGUAACAAAUAAAACUGUGGAGAUUGAGGUUCCAGAACAAAAGAUGUGUCUUGUAUAUGGCCUCGAAGGUUCCAGUCUCACCAUAUUGAAAGAGAGCUCAGGCGCUCAGAUCACAGUGCAAGAUCCACAUCCUGGAGAAAACAGUGGAAAGGUGAUUAUAUCAGGCACACCGGAACAAGUACAAGUCGCAAAGUGCCUUCUUCAAGCCUUCAUCUAUGUUAAACCAUAAAAACUACUACUUCAAUACCAGCUCCACCAAAUUGAAUGCAUUCUAGUUACUCUCAACAAUCUUGCCAAGAAGUAUCCCUUUCCAAACAGUUCAUAGCUGUCAUACAUUCACUGACCUGCAAGUACAUGUACAACAUCUCAAUAUGGAUAAGCCCUGUAAACAGUGUAUACUUGUUUUGGGGGUCUAUUAAUCUUAGAUGUUACCCCACUGUGAUCUCUGUCUCACACCAGAAGUUUUUACUGCUCGUGUCCCAGUUUUGUUGACUUUAGCUUUUAGGAUGCAUUGAGCACUUAGAAUUACAUUUCAAAGAAAUUAUAUAGCCAAUAUCUGUAAACAGGGCACACUAUUUGUUUUGAUGGUUCUUUUCUGGAUAACUGUCCAUAUACCAGAGUUUCAUAUCAUUAAAGGAAUGGAUCCUCUGCUGAAUUAUUCUAUUCUGCAAUCAAUCUCUUAUGAUCCCAAUUCACUUUUUUUCCGGCUUUGGUUCUUCAUACUUUGUGAAUGACU